AUGGAAGACAAGAUUGGAAUCCACCUUGUCGACUCGGAAGACAGCGCCGAGUUCGCUCACCUGAGUCGCGAGUUGACUCACUCAUCGGUUGUCGGGCUCGACGCGGAAUGGAAGCCCAAUGGCCGCGCAUCGACGUUCCCCACCGUCACCCUCCUCCAAAUUGCCUGCCACGUCGCCGGCUCCGGCGACUUGCCGGUUUUCCUUAUCGAUAUCCAUGCGAUUUCAUUGCCCCCGGUGUACGACUUGUUGAAGCAAGUGUUCGAAUCGCCUGAUGUGUUGAAAUUGGGAUUUAGAUUUAAGCAGGAUUUGGCGUAUCUUUCGUCCACGUUUUGUGAGCGGGGAUGUGAUCCUGGUUUCGAUAGGGUAGAGCCGUUUAUGGAUAUUACUGCCAUAUACAACCAUCUACAACCCAAACAACUUGGAAGAAGGAUGCCAAAACAGACAAAGAGCUUGGCAGCAAUAUGCAGUGAAGUUUUAGGCAUUUCACUCUCCAAGGAACUUCAGUGUAGUGACUGGUCACAGCGUCCUCUAACAGAGGAGCAGAAGGCAUAUGCUGCUGCGGAUGCAUAUUGUUUGAUCAAGAUAUUUGAUGUCUUCCAUGCAAAGAUUUUCCAAGAAGGAAGGUUUCCACAAAAUCAGAAUAGAUACCGGCCAUCUGAUUCUGAUCCUCAGUCGAAGAAGAUACUUGAGUUACCUAAUGGGAGUGACAUGGCGGCAGGGACAGAAUUUUGUGAAGCUUCCAGUACGAUCCAAACAAACAUGUCUGGGUUAGAUAGUAGAAUACAAGUUACAAAGGAAGUAGAUUCGGUGAAGUCAAAGAAAAUUAUUGACAGCUUCUUAUACAUUCUUGAGAAGUAUGGUGACAAGAUUUUGUUGAAGGAAGUGGACAGAAAGCCUAAAGUGUCAAAAAAGAAGGCUAAAAGGAUGACCAGUGGAUUAUUGUCCAAAGCAAAGAACCCUGAAAUUGAAGAGAAUUGGCUGGGUCCGCCUCCCUGGGAUCCAUCCUUGGGAGGUGAUGGAUUCCCCAAGUUUUUGUGCGAUGUGAUGAUUGAAGGCUUGGCAAAGCAUUUACGUUGUGUCGGAAUAGAUGCUGCCAUUCCAUGGUCAAAGAAACCUGAUGCCAGGGAACUCAUAGAUCAAGCACAAAAGGAGAACAGAGUGCUGUUAACCCGCGAUGCCAAGCUGUUGAGACAUGAAUAUUUACUUACAAAUCAAAUUUAUAGGAUCAGAAAUCUCCUUAAAAAUGACCAGCUUCUUGAGAUAAUCGAAACAUUUCAGUUGAAGAUUUCAGAGGAUCAGCUGAUGUCAAGGUGUACUAAAUGCAACGGGAAGUUCAUCCAGAAACCACUCACGACUGAAGAAGCUGUAGAAGCUUCUAAGGGGUUUCAAGUGAUUCCCAAGUGCCUGUUCAACAAGAAUUUGGAAUUCUGGCAGUGCAUGGACUGCCAUCAACUAUACUGGGAGGGAACACAAUAUCACAAUGCAGUUCAGAAGUUCAUCGAUGUGUGCAAACUAAACGAGCAACUGUAAAAUUGUGUGGUUAGAAAUAUUCAAGAUGCAUAUUGCUGAGUGUAAGCUACACCUAUUAUCAAAAUUCGGUUCAUUUGAUUAAUACAGCCGCGCCCUAGUUGAUCCAACCAAAAUUAUAUCAAUUUACAACCGGUGGAAAAGCUGGGAUUUUUUCGAUCUUUCCUGCUUACGCUGAUUGGAAUGGAGCAAGAGAAUCAAAUCCCAGAUUGUAUUAAGAGACAAGUAAAGCAGAGUCGCGUGAAGGUUCGGGCACGUGCGACGCGCCUGCGUGCAUACGUCUUAACGGUGACGUCGGUAGCCGUCAAUCCUGUCUUCGAUUUGACGGUCCAGAUUGCAUCAGCAACGCGGAUUUCACGUUUCGCGCUCUCGUUAGCCCAGACGGGGGCCCCUCUACAGUGCCUGUUAUUGAAUGCCACGUGGACACUUGAGCAUGGUGUAGGUUUUAAAUAAUACUACUAAUAUUUGUAUUUGCGUGAAGAAAUUUUUGGAUUUGAGAGAAUAUUAAUCGAAGAGUACGGAGUGUAUCA